GACGAACGCUGGCGGCGUGCUUAACACAUGCAAGUCGAACGGAAAGGCCCUGCUUUUGUGGGGUGCUCGAGUGGCGAACGGGUGAGUAACACGUGAGUAACCUGCCCUUGACUUUGGGAUAACUUCAGGAAACUGGGGCUAAUACCGGAUAGGAGCUCCUGCUGCAUGGUGGGGGUUGGAAAGUUUCGGCGGUUGGGGAUGGACUCGCGGCUUAUCAGCUUGUUGGUGGGGUAGUGGCUUACCAAGGCUUUGACGGGUAGCCGGCCUGAGAGGGUGACCGGCCACAGUGGGACUGAGAUACGGCCCAGACUCCUACGGGAGGCAGCAGUGGGGAAUAUUGCACAAUGGGCGGAAGCCUGAUGCAGCAACGCCGCGUGCGGGAUGACGGCCUUCGGGUUGUAAACCGCUUUCGCCUGUGACGAAGCGUGAGUGACGGUAUGGGUAAAGAAGCACCGGCUAACUACGUG
rnacentral:rRNA from 1 species